rnacentral:rRNA from 1 species
CAGCAGCCGCGGUAACACGAGGGGGGCAAGCGUUGUUCGGAAUUAUUGGGCGUAAAGGGUGCGUAGGCGGUUUGACAAGUCUUGUGUGAAAUCUCUGGGCUCAACCCAGAGUCUGCACGGGAAACUGUCGGGCUAGAGGAUGGGAGAGGUGAGUGGAAUUUCCGGUGUAGCGGUGAAAUGCGUAGAUAUCGGAAGGAACACCUGUGGCGAAAGCGGCUCACUGGACCAUUUCUGACGCUGAUGCACGAAAGCUAGGGGAGCAAACAGGAUUAGAUACCCCAGUAGUCCCUGUCUCUUAUAC